rnacentral:tRNA from 1 species
CCUUCCUUAGCUCAGCUGGCAGAGCAGCGGACUCUUAAUCCGUGGGUGGGUCGUAGGUUCGAUCCCUACAGGGAGGA